GUACACUCCUGCGGGAGGCAUCAGUGGGGAAUUUUGGACAAUGGGCGAAAGCCUGAUCCAGCAAUGCCGCGUGAGUGAAGAAGGCCUUCGGGUUGUAAAGCUCUUUUGUCAGGGAAGAAACGGUGAAAGUUAAUAUCUUUUGCUAAUGACGGUACCUGAAGAAUAAGCACCGGCUAACUACGUGCCAGCAGCCGCGGUAAUACGUAGGGUGCAAGCGUUAAUCGGAAUUACUGGGCGUAAAGCGUGCGCAGGCGGUUUUGUAAGUCUGAUGUGAAAUCCCCGGGCUCAACCUGGGAAUUGCAUUGGAGACUGCAAGGCUAGAAUCUGGCAGAGGGGGGUAGAAUUCCACGUGUAGCAGUGAAAUGCGUAGAUAUGUGGAGGAACACCGAUGGCGAAGGCAGCCUCCUGGGUCAAGAUUGACGCUCAUGCACGAAAGCGUGGGGAGCAAACAGGUUGAGAUACCCCGGUAGUCCCAU
rnacentral:rRNA from 1 species